GUUUUGAGUUUCGUAGUUCCUACUAGGACGUUAACGUGGCAAUAGCUCUCAUCAUUGAGACAGGGUGGUGGGAGAAGAAUGGACAGCUGAGCGGUGACGAGGAGCGAAAUUGAGGGUGGUACAGAAUCUGAUUCCCCUGGCAUGUGCUUCCAAACCCUAGCUCUGCACAAGGUGAAGGUGAUCUGGAGACCUUCCACAGUGCCCUGCUGAAAAAUACCCCAUAACGGUAGGGUCUUUGUUCGAAACAUCGUCAUCUAUUUGUUCAAAACAUCGUCAUCGUCAUCAAUUUGUUCGAAACAUCGUCAUCUAUUUGUUCGAAACAUCGUCAUCUCCUGGCAGCAUUUACCCUCCAGCUUCACAAGCUUGAAAACCACAUUUGUUUUGGAGUCUCAGAGUUUCAGUAUAGUUUGUUUUUCAAAACAAGUGUGAAUUAUUUUAUUUCAGUUUUCAAAAUAGUUUUUUUCAUGAUUUGUUUUUCUUUUUAGUUUCAAUUUCGGGUUUACUAAUAACCUUGACAUAUUACACUAACCAUAAAUGGACCUCUUCAAUUUGGUGCCAAAAUAAAAACAGCAUUACGUUAUCUCCUUCUUAUGUCCAGAGGGCUUGUGAAACUCGGAGACGACUGAAUCCCACCUUUCUUCCUCGGUCUAGUGUAGUUUUAGGCUACCCUUGAAAAAGCAACUGAUUGUGUCUCCCUUCCCUUUCUCUCAUACCCCAUUUGUCAGUUGGGCAAUUUCUGUGCCUCAGUCUAGCAGCAGGGGACGUAUGGAUGGAAGCGAUGGAACCUUGGGUGUCAAACCCUGUUUACAACAGGGCUUGCUGUGUUUAGUCUCUUCAUUCCAGAAUGCCUUCCAUCAUUCUUUGGAAUUUACUGUACCUUUUUGUUGUUACAGUAUAUUUUAUGCUGCCAUUUGCAAUACUAUGUAAAAGUUCUGAGUGAGUCCCUAAUAUAUUCAGUCAUUGGUAAGCCUGCAAUCUGCUUUCUCUUUGUUUGCUUGAUAGUGAUGUUAUUGCCACUACACAUACCUAGACAUAAUGUACUGAUCUUCAACAUCUCAUAUUAUUUCUGCUUCUUACAAUAAAUCCUUGUGACAUGCUAU